GCAUGGCACGAAUGAUGAGGUGAUUAGAUGGGUGAGAGGCAAAUGCCUCAAUGAACUGAAUUUACGAGGCUUAUUGAUAUUCUGACAUGCCAUCU
rfam:Ipomoea nil DNA, scaffold: scaffold1043, cultivar: Tokyo-kokei standard.